CUGUCUCUCCUUUUCCGGACUUGCCUUGUGCUGACUGCCGGGUACCGGUGUGGACAUGCCCAAAUACAGCUAAAAUCCCAACCGAUUCAGUCACUCGUCGGCUGACUGGGUUUCACCCUUGAACUCCCAACGUUGUUGCUUUGAACUGCAGCAGCAGGCGCUGCUGAGGCGUUCUUCUUCCUCAUCCAAGCAAAAAUGCCUACCAACCCAACCAGCAGCGCCUGCGAUUGCGUUGUAAAGUGUUGAGUUCUUGUUCACAGAGAAGUAGGCGUUGGUUGCUUGGAUCGGCACGAGAAAUGCACCGCCUGUGGGAAGCUUCCGAGCGAAGCGGCAAAGAGCCCAGAGUAGAAGAAAUUUCAACCAGAAAAGCAACGGACUCCCUAACUACCGGCUUUUUUCUACAUAUGUUUGAUUGUAGACGUGUGCACUUGACAUUGAAGCGAAUUGAGAACGCAGAAACCGGCAGUUUUGUCUACAGGGGACGGACGACGACGUUAGUAGUCGUUGCUGUUUGGCUCAAGUGCGACCAAACCAUAUGCAAGCGGAUUACCAGAUAAACGUACACCAGCAAACCGGGGCCACAUGGUGCCAUAAACAAGAGGGAAAACGGGAACCGAGUAGCAGGUUGUGAAGUGCGGGUCCAACCCGGCAAAGAAUGCAGUUGUUGGCUUGCGGUAGAGCGCAGAGACACGGGCGCGGCUGAGGAGUCUACACGCGAGAGAGAAAUUAUUACAGCGCGACCGCACAUGUGGCAAAUUAUGCCGGUACAAACUGCCGCAGAGUAAUUCCCAAUUAUAUUGAGGACUGUUUUUCUUCGCUUUGGAAACCACCAACGAACAACACCGAAAAAAUUGACGCUAUGCCGUAAUAGUGCAACGCGAAGCAGCCUGCUGUGAUGUGCAUCAACCAACAACAGCAACGAAAGGCGACGGAGGAGGCCGGUAGUGUGCCUUCGAAACUGAGCAGGCUGUGAGAUUGGGGCUCAUCAUCGCCAUCAGUGCCGCGGAACGUAUCUCGGCGCUGGCUCGUGACGUGAAAGUCGCGGUAAGAGUGGAUCGAAUUAACGCGUUUAGGAACCAUCACCUGGGCCGUGAUUUUACUCUGCCUCAAAAUUAGGGCCAUCUGUUAUCGCGGAGGAAACAAAAGGUUAAGUUUGAUUAUCGGUCGCAAACAAUCUCAACGCCCAUGCCAGCCGUAAACACCAGUCUCGAAUACUUUCACGGCCAAUUAGUAACACAGGUGGAAAUCGAAGCAAAAAAUUAAACUAUUUGUAAACAGAACCCUCUCGGAAGUCUAUCUCGGCGCCGCCAAUGGAUGAGGACGGACGACGACUCGACCGGAUACGAUCGGUGAGCGAGCAUCAUCCGGCAUGGUCUGGUGAGCGCUUGGAAUUGUGAGACCGUACAUGACGGCUACUGCAUCUGCAUACAAAAGUGAACCACAGACAAAUGGACGUGACACUGACGAAAGUUUCAUAAACCAUUACAAAUUCGCUAUGUUUUAAAACUCAAAA